AACGUACGCCUGGCGGCACGCCUAACACAUGCAAGUCGAACGAAGUAGCAAUACUUAGUGGCAGACGGGUGAGUAACAUGUAGGUAUCUGCCCUUUGGCCUGGAAUAACACGAGGAAACUUGUGCUAAUACCGGAUAAGUCUUUACGGAGAAAGCUUUAUGCACCAUUGGAUGAGCCUGCACUUGAUUAGUUUGUUGGUGGGGUAAUGGCCUACCAAGACUGUGAUCAAUAGCUGAUUUGAGAGGAUGAUCAGCCACAUUGGGACUGAGACACGGCCCAAACUCCUACGGGAGGCAGCAGUGGGGAAUCUUGCACAAUGGAGGAAACUCUGAUGCAGCGAUGCCGCGUGAGUGAAGAAGGCCCUUGGGUUGUAAAGCUCUUUCGUCGGGGAAGAAAAUGACUGUACCCGAAUAAGAAGGUCCGGCUAACUUCGUGCCAGCAGCCGCGGUAAUACGAAGGGACCUAGCGUAGUUCGGAAUUACUGGGCUUAAAGAGUUCGUAGGUGGUUGAAAAAGUUAGUGGUGAAAUCCCAGAGCUUAACUCUGGAACUGCCAUUAAAACUUUUCAGCUAGAGUAUGAUAGAGGAAAGCAGAAUUUCUAGUGUAGAGGUGAAAUUCGUAGAUAUUAGAAAGAAUACCAAUUGCGAAGGCAGCUUUCUGGAUCAUUACUGACACUGAGGAACGAAAGCAUGGGUAGCGAAGAGGAUUAGAUACCCUCGUAGUCCAUGCCGUAAACGAUGUGUGUUAGACGUUGGAAAUUUAUUUUCAGUGUCGCAGGGAAACCGAUAAACACACCGCCUGGGGAGUACGACCGCAAGGUUAAAACUCAAAUGAAUUGACGGGGACCCGCACAAGUAGUGGAGCAUGUGGUUUAAUUCGAAGAUACGCGCAGAACCUUACCAACACUUGACAUGUUCGUCGCGACUCUAAGAGAUUAGAGUUUUCGGUUCGGCCGGACGAAACACAGGUGCUGCAUGGCUGUCGUCAGCUCGUGUCGUGAGAUGUUGGGUUAAGUCCCGCAACGAGCGCAACCCUCACUUUUAGUUGCCAUCAUUAAGUUGGGCACUCUGAAAGAACUGCCAGUGAUAAGCUGGAGGAAGGUGGGGAUGACGUCAAGUCCUCAUGGCCCUUACGUGUUGGGCUACACACGUGCUACAAUGGUAUCUACAACAGGAAGCAAGACUGCGAAGUUAAGCAAAUCCCUAAAAGAUACCUCAGUUCGGAUUGCACUCUGCAACUCGAGUGCAUGAAGCUGGAAUUACUAGUAAUCGUGGAUCAGCGUGCCACGGUGAAUGCGUUCCCGGGUCU
rnacentral:rRNA from 1 species